CCAGGUGAGGGUCCACAUAUCUCGCUGGGGCCUCCAGAAAAUGUAAUCCUGGCAGCUGAGAGAAGGAUGGACCCCACUUCAGAUAUAAUUAA
rnacentral:miRNA from 1 species